rnacentral:rRNA from 1 species
UGGGGAAUUUUGGACAAUGGGCGAAAGCCUGAUCCAGCAAUGCCGCGUGUGUGAAGAAGGCCUUCGGGUUGUAAAGCACUUUUGUCCGGAAAGAAAUCCUUGGCUCUAAUACAGUCGGGGGAUGACGGUACCGGAAGAAUAAGCACCGGCUAACUACGUGCCAGCAGCCGCGGUAAUACGUAGGGUGCAAGCGUUAAUCGGAAUUACUGGGCGUAAAGCGUGCGCAGGCGGUUUGCUAAGACCGAUGUGAAAUCCCCGGGCUCAACCUGGGAACUGCAUUGGUGACUGGCAGGCUAGAGUAUGGCAGAGGGGGGUAGAAUUCCACGUGUAGCAGUGAAAUGCGUAGAGAUGUGGAGGAAUACCGAUGGCGAAGGCAGCCCCCUGGGCCAAUACUGACGCUCAUGCACGAAAGCGUGGGGAGCAAACAGGAUUAGAUACCCUGGUAGUCCACGCCCUAAACGAUGUCAACUAGUUGUUGGGGAUUCAUUUCCUUAGUAACGUAGCUAACGCGUGAAGUUGACCACCUGGGGAGUACGGUCGCAAGAUUAAAACUUAAAUGAAUUGACGGGGUCAUAGCUGUUUCCU